rnacentral:lncRNA from 1 species
CUCUCCAUAUUUUCCUUAACCAAGUAUUAAACCGAAACACCCUUUUUUCUUGUUUAUCUUGUCCGCACCACUCUCAACACACACAAUCUUCAUUAUUUCUAUUAUGUUUUAAUCACAAGAUCAAGCUUAAAGAUUCAAAGUUCAAAUGGCUUCAAGUGCUCAAACCCAAAGUUCUUACCCUUUUUUCUAGCCAUCUUCUCCUUGCUUACAUUCAGUAGUGAUGGUACUGCUCUGUGAUGAUUGAUGAUAUGUGCUACACUUAGGAUGGACUCGUGCCUUAGCGACUUUAAAACAUGAAAGAUAAUAGUUGUACUUAUUUGAUUGUAUUAAAACAAUGAGUUCAUUUAUUCAAUAAAACAAC